UUGUUCGUGCGGCGAAUUCCCCCGCGCGAUUUACUACAACCAGUCCCGAUUUUCAUUGUGGUAUCUCGCGUGAGGCCCCGCUGGCGUCGAUUACACCUGAAAUUCCGUGUCACACACCGGCGCGGCGGCUGGCAUUGGCUGUACGCGAGGACGGACGCGCUGGAAAAGUUUCGACGGACUAAAAGUAACGAGCAAUUAACAAUUAAAGCAGGUCCGUUAAAUCCGCCCGGUUGCGCGCGGAUUUUUCCUUACGUCAGGUCAGCAAUUUUUACCCGUCGCCUGUUAAUUAUUUUCAAGAAAUUUACUUAGAGUGUGUCGAGCGACACAAAAGUUUACAAAGCGGGCGGCGAUUCACGCUCGAGAGAAAUUAGAGAGUACCAUUUUUAGAGCUGUCGGAAAAAGAGAGAAACGUCCUUCGCUGGUGCAAGGAAAAUUGUGUAAAUAAAGCCAGCUAAGGCGAGAAGAAAUGCCUUAACUUCCUUCACGGCGCGAUAACGUGUGCAACACUGUCGUUCGAUAAAUGCAGGAUAAAAAUAUCGCCCAUAUUACAGUCGCGUAUUUCAUAUACGCAAGUAUGUAAAAUAGACUCGUUACAUGCACCCGCGAUUUAUUAGAGUCUGCGGAUAUACAUGGAAAGCGUACGUGUAUUUUAGUAAAUAGUUCCACGUUCACUGCACCGAUUUACCGCCGCUGUACCGAAAUCACGACGUGAUAGAGGACGAUUACCGUGCAACUGAGCGCGAUCAAAAUUCCGAGUUGGAGCGCACGUGCGUUCACUUCCGUACUGAUUUUUGAGGUGGUUUCCGAUCGCGGGGGAGGGAGGGGAAGGGCUCGCCGAAAAUGCGAUUCCCGCCGCGCGGCCGGCCGCGAAUUAUCAUUCCGGAAAUGAAUAUUUUAUCAUUAACUUUGCGCGAUUCCAUUGUAGUAAUUGCGAACACUUCCGGCCAGCGGGUGCCAAACCGCACAGCGCUACAAUCAAUUACGACGGCGUCAUGCCACACUCCAUAUAUUAUGCAGCACGUCGAAUGUUCUGUCAAAUAAUACCUAUACGUGUGCAAUCAGGGUUCGUGCGAAUAUUUGAACGGUUUGAAGGUUUAUCCAUAUCAAUGACAGAAGAGUAAUUUCUUUAGAAACAAAAGAUUAUUUAUGUAAUAUUUUAUACAAUAUUUAUUAUACAUAUUAUGCUAUAUACACACACACUAUGAUAAUUUGAUGAAAAACACAGUAAAAAUUUUUAUAAUUUUUUUCUUGAUCCGAACUUACUGCUUACCAUAGUCAUUUUUACUAUAAUUUUUUCCGUAUGUGUGUGUGUGUGUGUGUGUGUGUGUGUGUGUGUGUGUGUGUUUCACGAAAGGAGUAAUUUUUCUAAAAUACAUCAUAAUUAUGUUGGAUUAUUAAAAUAAUUAUAUUAGAUGUUUAAGCUGGCUGCUAGAAUGUGAAAAUUUUUUACAGUAAAAAUGCUUGAGUAUCCAGUACAGUUAUUUUGAUAGUUUUAACGGUCAAUCUAAAAAUUAUAUUUAUUUGAUCUGUAUCCAGCUAUAUUUCUAUAGAUAUUACAAUAAAAUUGUUCAAUAAAAUUGUUCUUUCGGUGCAUGUCGUAAUAUAUAAUCAUUUUUACCACACACAUGCAAUUAAUGUAUGCAAUGAUAAAUCAUAAAAUAGAAGAAAUUAUUACAAUGAUAUAUCGCAUGGUAUAAACUCAUGAUUACGUUCUCCGCGCUGUCGUGACGCUGAGUUUUCCUUUAAUCAAAAUUUUACCGUGUCAUGCCGUGAUAUCACGGCGACCAUAAAACCGUCAUUGUAUAAGCGCAAAUGUGAAUUAAGCUUGAGUAUGCGUUUGCGCGCAUAUGCGACGAGAGCGAGGGUGUGCGCCUCGAUAAAUUGGCAGCGUUAAAUUUAACGUCAUUCAUUCCAGCGACGGUGAUGUCGAUCCAAGCACGCGCGUGUUUUACACACGUGUGGAACACUCGCUCGCAGUUGUCGGAAAAUCAGGGUCGAUCGCACAUUUUUCGGUGUCCUUGUCCUUGCGAGUCUCACACACAUCUGCGACUGGACAGGCAAAAACGAAAAAAAUUUGCAUCGCGCAUGGCCUAAGAUUACGUCGAUGGGUCCGUACUGAUUGACGCCACGGAUAUUGCUAAGCCUCACGUAAUACGAUUAUUAAACGAGUACGCUCCACCGUUGGAAACUCACGAUGACAACGCGUAGGAAAUCGAAUUUACGUAGGGAAGGAGACGCGAAGGAAGCAAGCGCGUAUCUCAUAAUUUAUUUCGCAUCUCGAGAGAAUUUCGUGUAACAUAUAUUACUCUCGAUGGGUAAGCAAUAUUAAUAUUGCCAAUGGAUAAGCAGUUCACAAUUUCACAUAAUCUAAUCUCUGUCCACGGUCUCAUAUUCAUCAGCGAACACCGCGGAUAUUGUGGAAGUACGGUAACAUACGUAUGGUCAAUGGAAACUAGAGAGAAGUUUAACAUCAUGUAGAAGGAUAACUUAGGGAAGGCAAUCUAACUAUCUCGCGCACGUACGGUGGUGUAACUGAAGUACGUAGUUAGCGUUUCCAACAUGUACUGAAGUCUGCUUGAGAAAUACUUUCCUCACUGUGUAACAGAGAUAUCUGUCUUCCCGCAUCGUAAAGUAUUUGUGCUAAUAUUAAUUUGGCAAAUUAAAGGUGCUGUUCAAUUCCUGUAUUCGUAGUGAUGUAAAUUUAAAAAUACAUUUUUUACAUGUAUCUAACCAUGUGUUGCCAAAUAUUUCGAAUGUUGUAUCGACAACAAUUUUUUAAUUUGUAUAAAGAAUUAUCUUUAAUAUUUUUAAUAGCAUUCAUGAAACGUAUUGUAUAAUAUAAAUUAUAAUAUGAUGGUAUUUAUUGCGAAUAUGUAUAUAUUAGAACCAGGAUUGGCAAAGUUAUAAAAGUAACCUAUUAUUGUGUUAAAUUAAAAAAUUCAAUCAAACAAUUGCUAAUUACUUCAUAACAAGUUAAUACAAUUUUUAUUAGCUUUUUUUUAAUAUAUUAAUAAAAUUUUAUAUAUAAAUUAUAUAUAAUACCAUUCAAAAUUUGAUGUAUAUUAACUUCUUACAUAUUAUUACAUUAUGCCCCGUAUUCAGAGCGCGCUUAUAAAAAUGUAAGCUUUUUUAUCAUUCUAUCCUCAUUUUACGUUUAAUGAUGUAUAAAGAUAGAAUGAUAAAAACUCGCGCGUUAACUUCUUUAUGAGCGCGUUCUGAAUACGGGCCUAUUUAUGUAUUAAACAUGUAUACACUUGACUUGACGUUGUAUUAAUGAAAAAAAUUAAAUAAACUUUGUUGUAUAUUUAAA